UAGAGGGCUUAGUCACUUUUCAGUAAUUAAGAGGACAAUAUCUCCCAAUAGGUUCAGUUUGGGCAGCUAAAAAAAAUACGUGUCCGUUAUUUUAGACUACUCUAUAACAUAUAUCAAAAUAAAUCAAAUCGGAGUCGGACAGUUGUGUA